ACAGCAGCAGCCGCGGGAAUACGAAGGGCGCAAGCGUUACUCGGAAUUACUGGGCGUAAAGCGUGCGUAGGUGGUGGUUUAAGUCCGUUGUGAAAGCCCUGGGCUCAACCUGGGAAUUGCAGUGGAUACUGGGUCACUAGAGUGUGGUAGAGGAUAGUGGAAUUUCCGGUGUAGCAGUGAAAUGCGUAGAGAUCGGAAGGAACAUCUGUGGCGAAGGCGACUAUCUGGGCCAACACUGACACUGAGGCACGAAAGCUAGGGGAGCAAACAGGAUUAGAUACCCCUGUAGUCCCUGUCUCUUAUAC
rnacentral:rRNA from 1 species